UCUACUGGUGUGGCAUGAGUGUUGAUAUUGACACAUGGGUAUGUAUCUUGAGGUUAUGUGUUUUGCACAAAAAUCACCUGGCCAUGACAAUAAUAGUUUUUUCUUCAAGGUCUCAGAAUGUGACAGUUGCCAGCGAUCAGGAAAGGCUUUGGCAGCUGCA